CAAAAGUUUGGUCCUGGCUUUAAUAUCAGCUUUAACCCAAUUUACACAUGCAAGCCUCCGCAGCCCCGUGAGAAUGCCCUCAAUCCCCCGUCCGGGGACGAGGAGCCGGUAUCAGGCACAUAAAUUUAGCCCAAGACGCCUUGCUUAGCCACACCCCCAAGGGAAUUCAGCAGUGAUAAACAUUAAAACAUAAGUGAAAACUUGACUUAGUCAGGGUUAAGAGGGCCGGUAAAACUCGUGCCAGCCACCGCGGUUAUACGAGAGACCCUAGUUGAUAUAUUCGGCGUAAAGAGUGGUUAUGGAAAACAAGCACUAAAGCCAAAGAGCCCUCAGGCCGUUAUACGCACCCGGGGCCUCGAACCACUAUCACGAAAGUAGCUUUACCCUCGCCCACCAGAACCCACGAGAGCUGGGACACAAACUGGGAUUAGAUACCCCACUAUGCCCCGCCGUAAACUUAGAUAUAUUAGUACAACAAAUAUCCGCCCGGGAACUACGAGCGCCAGCUUAAAACCCAAAGGACUUGGCGGUGCUUCAGACCCCC
rnacentral:rRNA from 1 species